CCUACGGGUGGCUGCAGUGGGGAAUAUUGGGCAAUGGGCGCAAGCCUGACCCAGCAACGCCGCGUGAAGGAAGAAGGCUUUCGGGUUGUAAACUUCUUUUGUCAGGGAAGAGUAGAAGACGGUACCUGACGAAUAAGCCACGGCUAACUACGUGCCAGCAGCCGCGGUAAUACGUAGGUGGCAAGCGUUGUCCGGAUUUACUGGGUGUAAAGGGCGUGUAGCCGGGUUGACAAGUCAGAUGUGAAAUCCAGCGUCUUAACCGCAGAACUGCAUUUGAAACUGUUGAUCUUGAGUACUGGAGAGGCAGAUGGAAUUCCUAGUGUAGCGGUGAAAGGCGUAGAUAUUAGGAGGAACACCAGUGGCGAAGGCGGUCUGCUGGACAGCAACUGACGGUGAGGCGCGAAAGCGUGGGGAGCAAACAGGAUUAGAUACCCGGGUAGUC
rnacentral:rRNA from 1 species